rnacentral:rRNA from 1 species
UACGGAGGGAGCUAGCGUUAUUCGGAAUUACUGGGCGUAAAGCGCACGUAGGCGGCUUUGUAAGUUAGAGGUGAAAGCCUGGAGCUCAACUCCAGAAUUGCCUUUAAGACUGCAUCGCUUGAAUCCAGGAGAGGUGAGUGGAAUUCCGAGUGUAGAGGUGAAAUUCGUAGAUAUUCGGAAGAACACCAGUGGCGAAGGCGGCUCACUGGACUGGUAUUGACGCUGAGGUGCGAAAGCGUGGGGGAGCAAACAGGAUUAGAUACCCUGGUAGUCCACGCCGUAAACGAUGAUAACUAGCUGUCGGGGCUCUUAGAGCUUCGGUGGCGCAGCUAACGCAUUAAGUUAUCCGCCUGGGGAGUACGGCCGCAAGGUUAAAACUCA